rnacentral:rRNA from 1 species
UACAGAGGUCCCGAGCGUUGUUCGGAUUCAUUGGGCGUAAAGGGUGCGUAGGCGGUGGGGUAAGUUGGAUGUGAAAUCUCCGAGCUUAACUUGGAAACUGCCAUUGAUACUAUUAGUCUUGAAUAUUGUGGAGGUCAGCGGAAUAUGUCAUGUAGCGGUGAAAUGCUUAGAGAUGACAUAGAACACCAAUUGCGAAGGCAGCUGGCUACACAUAUAUUGACACUGAGGCACGAAAGCGUGGGGAUCAAACAGG